AAAGUUUAACAGACAAUCGCUGGUGGUGUUUAAGGCACCACGAGAGGAAAGUCCGGGCUCCAUAGGGCAGGGUGCUGGAUAACGUCCAGUCAGCGCGAGUUGAAGGAUAGUGCCACAGAAAUGGACCGCCGAUGGCCGCUUAGCGUGCACAGGCAAGGAUGGAACCGAGGUGUAAGAGACCCCGAGGAACGCUGGUGACUUCGUUCCUGGUAAACCCCACUUGGAGCAAGACCUAAUGGAACGCACGCUUUCUCUUUCGAGGGAAUGCAUCCUUAGCCCGAGGCGCGUUCAGGUUGGUCGCUGGAGCCACUCAGUAAUGUUUGGCCUAGAUAGAUGAUUGUCGCUUGGAGUGGGAGGGUAGUUCCCGUAUAUACCACGAAUAGCACAGAACCCGGCUUACGGUAAACUUUCACA
rnacentral:RNase_P_RNA from 2 species